UGACUCGUAGCUCAAUUGGUGGCAGCAAGCGGCUGUUAACCGCGAGGUUGCAGGUUCGAGUCCUGCCGAGUCAG
rnacentral:tRNA from 1 species